ensembl:lincRNA
CUUUCUUUUUUGAAUUCCACUUCUAAUCUGUCAUCAAAUGGAUGGAAAUUGCAGGCUGAGGGAGUUAAUGAAAACUGCAGGGGCAAGCAGGGAAGUGGGGGAGGGGCUGGCGGCCGGCUGGAGCUGUCGGUGGGAGGGCCAGAUGGGGGCUCUGUCUCCUUGCAGCAAGUAGGGAGUUGGAGGGAGCCACACCGAGCACCCUGGCUUCUGCCUGAUCCCCUCUCUGAGCACACCAAGGCUUGCAGGACAAGGGUGAAGAGCUCCCUGCUUAUCGCUGGGCAGAUCAGUGGCCAGGGCUGCAGCCUGGGCCAGCAGAGUGGAGCUGGCGCCGGCUAUGUCACCCUUCACACAGAGCCUCUGAUUAGCAUCAGGGUCAGCUGGCCUCUUGCACGGAUCCCUUUAAGAGCAGUAGAAAGGGGGCACUUCUGUCCAGGACCUGCAGCUGUCCAGCCUGUGACCCCAGGCUGGCAGCCUUCAGCACCUCCAGUCUGGGGAAGGACCCAGCAGGCCAGGGUGUUUGUCCCUGCUCUUCCUUCCAGUGGGGAUGUUGCUGCCUCUCCAGAGCACCACUACACACCCCUACCUUCUGCUUCCAGAGAACUCACUAGUCACCGAGGUGUCCUGGGCAAGUCCCGCUAUGUUUACUAUGGGAAAAACUCCGAAGGUAACAGGUUUAUCCGAGAUGAUCAGCUCUGAAGACAAACUUGAUAUGCCUUUGCCCAUUUUGUGAAAAUCAAAGGAAAAGGGAAGCAAAAAUAAAAGGCCAAAGGAAAAAACAAUGACCCACUUCGUGUCUCUGUGGGAAGGCUCUGACUUCAGCUGUUGGUACCUUGUGCUGACUUUGCCCAGCCCGUCAAGAUCAUCCUUCUGCCUUCCACUGAGUGGUCACAGAGAGAUCGACAUGAUUGCCCUUAAGCAGGUCUCAUCCACCAGGGUGACAGACGGCGGCGGCGAAGCACCAGGGCUGACAGCGUGAACACCAUGAUAGAUUGCCUGGUCCCUCCAUGGCUCACAGGGGAGCAGAGGUCACACCUGGGGCCUCCCCAGGCAUGCUCGGUAGCUGCAGCUGAGGUAGAGAGCCUGUCUUCCACUUACCUAGUAAGUCAAGAUCCCUCUGAUACCACUCUGCUGUAGGUUUCAUUUUAGUGGAAGUCACAGAUUAGGAGAAGGACCCUCAAAUCUUAGCCUUUAUAUUCCACAUAUGAAUGGCUCAAAUGCUCACCCCUCUCCCCUCUCCAACACUUCAGCGUCAUCUUUACCCCAGGUGGCCUAUGCCAUGUCCAGUUUUUCAGAGAACAGAAAGGAUAACCUCGCAGCCAAGUCAUACAUUUCAUGGCCAGCUUCGUGUUGCUACCAAUCUUAUAUCUGAUUAAAUUGCUUUCUCUGAAUCCCAGACUACAAAAGCAUGGACUUCAUCUUAUUUCAUUCAUUUCCAAAUCCAUUUCUUGUCCUAAACACAAUGCAGCAAGAGGAAUCUUUCCCAGAAAGAGGAUCAGAUUGCACCAGGGUCCCUUACUUAUUUUUAAACACACACACUUCUAGCUAUGCCUAUGGCCAUAUUUGUGCUAGGGGCUGGCUUGCUCCUUCGGGUGCUAUUUAAAAGUAGUGAGGUGAUGAAAGCUAGAGUGAUGGGUCAGGAGGUUGAAAAACAAAAUGAAGACUGUAGAAAAUAUCCACCAGACCACAUGAUUUUUACAGAAGGCGCAAACCUUUUGAGUUUCAUGCCCCCCCCCGGGGGGGGCGCUCAAAAAUUAGAUCCAUAGUUUAGGAGACACUGCUGUGUCUCUGUGCAUCCUUGGUUGUAUUCUAGCACCAAGGUCACAAGGGAAAUAAGCACUAUCGUGCUAGUUGGGUGACUGCCUUUUGCUGAACUUAUGGGUGCACAAGUCAAAUGACUCUGGAAGAUGUGGGAAAGACUGGUUUGAUGUUUGGCACAGUAGCAUUUAUUUUUGCUUCUUGUAUUUGGACCAGAUGUUCAUUGUCCUGGGCCCCCCAGUAUUAGGACAGCAAAGCCUGGAAGAUAAUCCUUCCAAGUCACAGCUACCAAGUGACAAGAGAGUUGCUAUUGUAAAAGUCCUUGGGGACACAGAAUCCCUGAGCUGCCUGAGAAGAACCCUCUUUCUCAGCUCCAGUCCGUUUACAUAGCCUCUGGCCUCUGAGUCAACACAGUCCUGGAAUGACAUGGAUUGAGGCUGGCAGGAGUCCCGCUUGUAGAUUAUACAACCUCCAUUAAUCAGCUGUUCAGACUAGUUAGCAUUAAAAUCCUCGAGACCAUUAAUAAUUAGAGAUUAUUGAAUGUUUGCGUACAUCUCUCCGACCUAUUGAUGAGGAGAAAGAAUUGAGUACCUUUUCUGUGUCUGAUCCACAAAACAGCAUUGGGAUAACAUUUUAAAUCACCUGCUCUCAGUCCCACCUUGGCUCUUUGUGCAGGAGCAUGAGCACGUGUUUCGUCCAUGGCAUAUUAUGGGCAACAGAGCUCUCCACAAGGGCAGCUAGACCAGUCCAGUGUCACAUCCAAUCUAACGGCACAUAUAUCCUUGUCUUUAUAAAAGGCUUUAACCCUGCCUCAAACAAUAAAAAAGCACUUGUGAACUGACCACAGAAUUUUUCCAUCUUUAUUUUUCUUACUUGUUUACUUUUCUUAAUGUCAGAACCAUUUGUAUCAUGUGCAGGAAUGUCUCCCUCCAUGUAAGCUUUGGAAGCAAAGAAUAUUUUUGGAGUGAGUUAUUGACCACGUUGUUUCCCUCUCUUCAGCGUGUUUAUUUUCUUCCAGAAUAGUGUAAUAACUUUAUUAAGAUUAGCUUUAAUUAUAAUCUACGUAAAGGCCAUCACUGUGGUAUAUUCAUCUUAUUGAUAGAAUUAUAGUGACUUUUGUUUCUCGUAAGCAGGCAUAAUGAUAAUGAAUUAGUGUUGAGUUGUUUACAACUCCACUGUUUUUUAAGCAAGAUCUGCUGUGCUACAGCCUGACUUUGGUCUGAAUCGGCAGGGGAGAAGGCCAUGUUGUGUGUUUAUUUUAAAUCUAUAGGGAUUUCCCAAAUCUUGUUUUUCAUGGUAGGAAAUUAAGAAGGUAAUACAUUUGAAGCUCAGACAUACCUUAUACUCCCUUUACCCUUGGUUCUUUCUUUCCUUUCGCCUGUUUUACUGAGUUUAUUAUUUGGGGAUCAGAGCGUCAGAUACCCUAUCUCCCCUACCCUGGGAUGCUGAUCUGAAUGGAGAGACCCCAGAAUGGAGAAGCCACGAAAAGCAUGGCCGUUCUGGAAUUCUCUAGAGCCUCAGCAAUGUCAAGGCGACUAUCUGUCUCUCAAGUAACAUAAUUUUAUAGAACAAUUUAUUCCUCAGGGAAUAAUGUUUGAGAUUGUGGGGAAUCCUAUUAAAAGUACAACUAUUGCAAUCAUUUGCUUUUACUUUUACCAGCCUUGCUCAUAAACC